GUGUCAUACGAUUUGUUGUCAUGAAACGUUUGGUUGUUCUAAUUCUAUUUACUGGGGAUUCAAUUAACUGGUGCAACUUAUUCAAUUUCUACGCUACUUAUUUACAGUAAACUACAUUGUUCACUUUAUUGCUGAGGUAAUGAUCAGUUUAUCAUUUUAACUAAGGGGAACAUGAACAGUUAAAAGAAAAGUACCACCGACCCUUUUGUUUUCUAAAAGAUUCACUCAAAAGAUGCAGGUAAACACCACGCCACAUUAAUGUUGAAAUAUUAAUGUCUUUUUUUUUUAAUUGAUUAAAACAGGUGGAUCUCAUCAUCUCUUAUGGUUAACAGCUGCCUGAACAAGCCUAUCUUACAGUCAUAAUAAAGUCUAGAAAGACCAGUAUUUCUAUCUGUUUGUGUUGAAGUGUAAGUAUUGUGUGUGUAGAGUAAUAAUUUAUGUUCUGUUAACAGAUAAUUUUUUUUGUAGAGAAAGUAAGCAUCCUCAUCACAUCAUUUGUGAUGUGUUCUGUCUUCUGGAUAGACUAGGAAAUCUGAGUGGUGUUAUCAUAUGAAAUGAUUGCCUGAGGCUAUGUACUAUGCGGUUCAUCUUGGUCUUAUGAUCAACCAAUUAAAAUGUUCUAAGGAUUGAGGUUAGGAAGAGAUUAGUCAGAACCGUAAUCCUUCAAACGGGGCGGCGGUUUGGCUGUAGAAAUUUUCUGUUAAUCGCCUUAAUCCAAUGUAAGUAUAGCUCUAAUUCAUGGGUCACUUUGCAGUCAGGUUAUAAAUUAUAAUCAAAAGUUUUAUUCAAAUUUAUGGGAGAUUCACAACUUAUUGGCAAUACCUUACAUUGCUGUGUUGGAUAAUGAUCUAUUUAUUAUUUUAACUUAGGGGAGGGCAGAACGCAGAAAAGCUGCUGCAUUGUUCUGAACUUCUCAAACUCACUCAAAUUAUGCUGUUAACAAUGGUCUCUACUCUAGCUAUUAUAAGUUAGUGUUGAAAGUGGUAGUCUAGUGACAUAUUUGUGUAAUUGUGUAUAGUUUCAAUACGAUUAUCUGUUUGUAGCUGCAGUUCGUUGAUCACCUAACAUGUUUUGCUACAGCCAUUUAAUCUAGCCUAAUAAGCAG